CCUACGGGCGGCAGCAGUGGGGAAUAUUGGACAAUGGGCGAAAGCCUGAUCCAGCCAUGCCGCGUGUGUGAAGAAGGCCUUCGGGUUGUAAAGCACUUUCAGUGGGGAAGAAAGCCUUGGGGCUAAUACCCUCGAGGAAGGACAUCACCCACAGAAGAAGCACCGGCUAACUCCGUGCCAGCAGCCGCGGUAAUACGGAGGUGCGAGCGUUAAUCGGAAUUACUGGGCGUAAAGCGCGCGUAGGCGGUCUGAUAAGCCGGUUGUGAAAGCCCCGGGCUCAACCUGGGAACGGCAUCCGGAACUGUCAGGCUAGAGUGCAGGAGAGGAAGGUAGAAUUCCCGGUGUAGCGGUGAAAUGCGUAGAGAUCGGGAGGAAUACCAGUGGCGAAGGCGGCCUUCUGGACUGACACUGACGCUGAGGUGCGAAAGCGUGGGUAGCAAACAGGAUUAGAUACCCCAGUAGUC
rnacentral:rRNA from 1 species